CGUUAGGGUAGGAUUCGGGUAGCUCAUAUUGAAAAUAGGAUACGAUUCGGGUAUCAAAAUAAGGAACCGGUAAAAUUCGGUUCCGGUUCCGAUUCCAACCUACAGGGUACCCAGAAUCGAAACCGAAACCGAAUGAUAAUUACUAAAAAAAAAAGAAAAAAAAGAAAGGUAAAGUUAGUAUGUAUUACAGACUAACAGAGUCGGGAAGAUUGAAGACAGGAAAGAAGAGCGAAGAGGAACCCUAAAUCGCAAAUCGUCAUCGUCUUCGACUCCAGUUCCUCUCGUCUCCGACUCCAGUUCCUCUCGUCUCCGACUCUCCACUCCAGCUCCUAUCCGUCGGUCGCAUCUCGUCUCUGACUCUCCACUCCGGCUCUCUUUCCCACUGAGCUUCUUUUCUACUCCAAAUCCGUCACUCUCGACUCCGACUCUCCACUCCGGCUCCUCUCUGUCGCUCUCGUCUCCGACUCUCCUUCAAGCUCCCUUUCCCCGCCUACAGCAGAGCAUGUCAAACAAAAUCACUACCUGGAGGUGAUUCCCAGGAGGCUGAUAUAGCUCACGGCUGUUCACAGCCAGCGCAGCUAACAGGGUUGGCUUCAUAGGAGAUUGCCAUAUAUCAGCAGACUGUAGACAUCAAAAUGUGGCAAUUUUCUCCAUUGGUGCAGCAACAAUAGACAAAGUUGGUCAGGGACUUUACAAUUCCCCUCCCCUGCCUAUCAGAUGAGAUCUUCUGAGUUAUCUUUUUCUAAUCCUAUAUUUUUUCUCAAGAUUAAAGUGUGAUUUUUCUGCUUUUGGAUAGAUAAAAUUUUUAGUUCAUGGACCGUAUUAAUCCAUUAUGGACGUAUUGUAAGGAAAUAUUACAUUUUGUUGUGUAAAAUCGUAUUAUAGAUAUUUAGUUUUGUGGAUGGAUUAAUGAGACAUUAUUUUUUAUUGUUGUGGAUUAA